UCCAUGAUAGUAUAGUGGUUAAUAUACUCGCCUGUCGAGCAAGAGACCAGGGUUCGAUUCCCUGUCAUGGAG
rnacentral:tRNA from 1 species